GGGUUGUGAGGUUAAGCGACUAAGCGUACACGGUGGAUGCCCUGGCAGUCAGAGGCGAUGAAGGACGUGCUAAUCUGCGAAAAGCGCCGGCGAGGUGAUAUGAACCUUUGACCCGGCGAUGUCCGAAUGGGGAAACCCAGUGUGUUCCGACACACUAUCGUUAACUGAAUACAUAGGUUAACGAGGCGAACCGGGGGAACUGAAACAUCUAAGUACCCCGAGGAAAAGAAAUCA
rnacentral:rRNA from 1 species